ACACACACACACACACACACACACAAUACCCUCCCCCAGCAGAAGAGUCGGGAAACCCAUGUGGAUGGCCGAACAGGGACCCUCGCCUGUCGUGGUAGCAAGAGAUGCGACACAAAAGCAAGAUAGAGUCGGGGACUAAAGAGCCUUAAGUGUCUUCUGGAGAAGACGGAUCUUCGUCCUGUGGCAGAAGAGAAACUGCUAGCUUGCAAAUUGGGGUGAAACGAUAUUUCAUUAAGACAUACCGAGCAAAGCACAGAAAAUGGAUUGGAGCCGGGAGAGGCUGGAGGCGGGGAGACCGAGGAGAGGUCCUGGUGAGGCACAAAGCGUCAAACCCUGCAGGGCCGUGGAAUUGACAUGUGCUUAUUACCACGUUUGCUUCCUGAAACCAAACCGAGUGAUUUGAAGGCCCGUCUUGAGCGAGCGCUCAGAGAGUCACAUCAAUCAGGGAGCGUGAUGGCCCAGAGCGAUCCCCGCCAGGAGCCAGCGCCCAGACUCAGGGGCUCACCGCUGCUUUGGAAAUACCGGCCCGUCUUCCUGGUCAGCGUGAUGCUAGAAACAGCAGUAAUAAUUUACGGGACACUCGCUCUGAUUCAGGUUUUAGGAUGAAUUAUUCAAGCUGACAUCUCUCCCGACCUGCAUGUUUUAAUAGUUGGAGAACCCUGGGGGUGGGGUGCGACCUGGCUGCCAGGGUCUCAGGCUCAGGAGGAAACAGAGGGGCUUGAGUUCUGUGUGGCUGGAGGGUCCAGGAAGGGACUCUUGCUUAGGGCCCCGCUAUUUCUCCUGUCCUUUUUUAAAUUAAAACAACCAGACCCUGGGACA